rnacentral:lncRNA from 1 species
GGCGAAAACUCCAAGUCUCUGCAGGAGGAGACUGAGAAAGAUAUUGGGGAAGGGAAAGGGAGCCCAUGCUCCCAGAUUGGCAGAAUUAAUCAUGGAAGAGUGAUCAUUCUACUAAAAGCCAUUUGCAAAUGUAAUGUAAUCUUUAUAAAAAUCCCUACAACAUUCUUUAUAGAAGUAGAAAAAAAUUCAACUUCAAAUGGAACCCCCAAACCCUAAUAGCCAAAGUAAUCUUGAGCAAAAACGAACAAUUCUUGGGAGUUUAUAGCUCCAGAUUUCAAGAUAUGUUACAGAGCUACAGUCAUCAAAACAGAGUGGUACUGGCAAAAAAAAAAAAAAAAA